rnacentral:rRNA from 1 species
GAGGGGGUGCAAACGUUAUUCGGAUUUACUGGGUGUAAAGGUGUGUAGACGGGUUGUUAAGUUCGUUGUUAAAUCUUCCGGGCCUAACCGGAAGCUCGCGAUGGAAACUGGCAGUCUUGAGGAUGGAAGAGAGAAGUGGAAUUCUCGGAGUAGCGGUAAAAUGCGUAGAUCUCGAGAGGAACACCGAUGGCGAAGGCAGCUUCUUGGUCCAUUCCUGACGUUGAGACACGAAAGCGUGGGGAGCAAACAGGAUUAGAUACCCUGGUAGUCCACGCUGUAAACGAUGAUCACUAGAUGUUGGCCCUGUUUUGCAGGGUUAGUAUCGAAGCUAACGCGUUAAGUGAUCCACCUGGGAACUACGAUCGCAAAGAUUA